rnacentral:rRNA from 1 species
GUGGGGAAUAUUGCACAAUGGGGGAAACCCUGAUGCAGCGACGCCGCGUGAGUGAAGAAGUAUUUCGGUAUGUAAAGCUCUAUCAGCAGGGAAGAAGAAAAUGACGGUACCUGACUAAGAAGCACCGGCUAAAUACGUGCCAGCAGCCGCGGUAAUACGUAUGGUGCAAGCGUUAUCCGGAUUUACUGGGUGUAAAGGGAGCGCAGGCGGCGCGCUAAGUCUGAUGUGAAAGCCCGGGGCUCAACCCCGGGACUGCAUUGGAAACUGGCGCGCUGGAGUGCCGGAGAGGUAAGCGGAAUUCCUAGUGUAGCGGUGAAAUGCGUAGAUAUUAGGAGGAACACCAGUGGCGAAGGCGGCUUACUGGACGGUGACUGACGCUGAGGCUCGAAAGCGUGGGGAGCAAACAGGA